UUGAAUCUCUGUAGGUUUAACUCGUGAAUCAAAAUCCGCAGGGACAUCUUUGCUGGCUCAGGCCAGACAAUGUGCAGGGUACUUUUCAAGCCAGUCGCCGAGCAACGGUAUUUAGGAAAAUAAAGUGGCAGCCUGUGGGCCAAGCUUCCGCCUAAUGGGAACCGAAGUGGUGGAGAUAUUAAUCCCAGGAAAAAAGGACUUUCUAGUGAAAACCCUCGGGGACCCUUCCAUCAAGGGGAAAAUCAGGAGUAAAUCUAUUGAAGUCAAUGAAAUUACACUGGUGUAAGCAUGACCAGGAAGCUGGACAGUAGG